UGGGGAAUAUUGGGCAAUGGGCGCAAGCCUGACCCAGCAACGCCGCGUGAGGGAAGAAGGUCUUCGGAUUGUAAACCUCUGUCCUUGGGGACGAAAAAAAUGACGGUACCCAAGGAGGAAGCUCCGGCUAACUACGUGCCAGCAGCCGCGGUAAUACGUAGGGAGCGAGCGUUGUCCGGAAUUACUGGGCGUAAAGGGUGCGUAGGCGGCAAAGCAAGUCAGAUGUGAAAUCCCCGGGCUUAACUCGGGGGGUGCAUUUGAAACUGCAUUGCUUGAGUGCAGGAGAGGAAAGCGGAAUUCCUAGUGUAGCGGUGAAAUGCGUAGAUAUCGGGAGGAACACCAGUGGCGAAGGCGGGUAACUGGACUGCAACUGACGCUGAGGCGCGAAAGUGUGGGGAGCAAACAGG
rnacentral:rRNA from 2 species